rnacentral:rRNA from 1 species
UCCACGGAGAGUUUGAUCCUGGCUCAGGAUGAACGCUGGCGGCGCGCCUAACACAUGCAAGUCGAACGAGUAAGACGCCUUCGGGCGUGGAUAGAGUGGCGAACGGGUGAGUAACACGUGACCAACCUGCCCCCUCCUCCGGGACAACCUCGGGAAACCGAGGCUAAUACCGGAUACUCCGGGCCCCCCGCAUGGGGAGCCCGGGAAAGCCCUGGCGGGAGGGGAUGGGGUCGCGGCCCAUCAGGUAGACGGCGGGGUAACGGCCCACCGUGCCU